ACGUGAAGGUGGUCUCUUCUAUGCCUACUUAACACAAAUCCAUCCCUAGCAGGCCUCUUUUUCUUACUUUGGCAUUCACGCAACGAUGUCUUUCCUCUAAAUCCACAUAUACAAUCCUUUGUAUCCAUAGAAACGUCUAGUAGGCCCUCGUUUUUGCAUGACCAUGUCUUUGCUCUAAACUUGUAACAUAUAAUCCCAUCAUGAGCACUCCUCACCUAACUUUAGUGUUCACGCGAAGGUGUUCCCCUCUAUGUCCAAAUAGAAAUCUAUCGCUAGUAUCUCUUACUUUUUACAUUCACAUGGUUAUGCUCUCGUAAUCCCAUACAUGCAAUCCUUUGUAUUCACAAAAAGCUACUAGUAGGCCCUCCUCCUCGGAUGAUGUUGGCUUCCUCUUAACUCCACAGCAUGCAGUUCUAUCGUGAGCAUCCCUAACCUAACUUAGUGUUCACAUAAAGGAAGUUUCCCUCUAUACCUUCGAACACAAAUCUAUCGCUAAUAGCCCUCUUUUCUAAAAUUAGCACCACUUAGUGAUGUCUUCCUUCUAAACCCACGGAUACAGUCCCUUGUAUCUAUAAAUUCUACUAGCAAGCGUUACUCUUCAUAUAACGUUGCCUUUGCUCUUAAGUCUAUAGUGCACAAUCUUACCACGAGCAUUUCUUUCCUAAUUUUGAUGAUCACGUGAUGGUGGUUUUCCUCUCCACCCAUAGAAAAUAAUAUUAUAAAUUUUGCUAGUAGGCGUUACUCUUCACAUGAUGUUGCCUUCGCUCUUAAGUCUAUAGCGCAUGAUCCUAACAUGAGCAUUCCUCUACUAACUUUGACGUUC
rnacentral:lncRNA from 1 species